GGUUGAGUGGGAACUAUUGCUACUUAUUGGGAAUUCAGACGCUUCCGGCAAACUUGCACGAUGAGGUUCCAUGGUGUAAUGGUGAGCACUCUGGACUCUGAAUCCAGCGAUCCGAGUUCGAGUCUCGGUGGAACCUUUCUGUUUAAUUAGGACGGCAAUGUUGUGUUUUACUCCCUAAAUGGAAUGGGGAUUCCGCUGACGUUCAGAAACUCUGCGCUGUGGGCCUCCGUGUCCCUUCUGCUCCCGCUGUCUGAGCCUCGCGAUGUACCCCGCGCUCCUCGUCCCCUCUUCGUCUCCCUCUUCGGUGUUCGGGGUCCCAGAAACCGGGUUCUCGCAGUGGCCCGGACCACAGGGAAAUUGCCGAGUCAUCCAGUCGGGAUCAGCGAGCCUGCAGGGUCCCCUUCCUGGGCGAGCCUCCUGGCACCCAGCAAUCGGAGGCCCGGACACCCCCGCCAGGGACCCAGCGACCCAGGAAGUCCCCACCCCCUCUCAGAGCGACCCUGGGCCUCGGGCUGACAGGUCUCCUCCACUAAAAAGGCUGCUGCCCCUCUAUCCUAGACCCCGAGAUUCCUUUCACUCGGGAAUCUCCUAAUGGCACCCAUUGUCUUUUUGGUAAAACUGCAGGACCUGGGAUGGAAAAUUGGACAGUCAAAGAGUAACGAUAUUUAUGUAGAGGUGGGUUGCGUGCAUUAAAAAUUGUUAUCCCUACAGAUAAGUGUAGGAAGGGACCAGGGCACUGCUGUUCACCACCAGCUUUGCAGCAUAUGUAACUUUGAUAACAGUGUAUAGUGCAUAAAAAUUCAUUCCUGUUUACAAAUAUUUGAUCACAACCAGUUACAGGUUUCUUUGUUCCUUCUCCACUUCCACUGCUUCACUUGACUAGCCCUAUAGGAAAAAAGAAUCAUUCUUAAAUAUGAUAUUGUUUCAGUUGAUCGCCAGCCCACCCGUUCCCCUCCCCCUGAAAGUAGCUGGGACAACAGGUGUGCACCGUGUGCUGGGCUCAUUUUUGUAUUUUUAGUAGAGAUGGGGUUUCGCCAUAUUGGCCAGGCAGCUCUCGAACUCCAGAACUCAAGUGAUCCGCCUGCCUGGGCCUCCCUACACCUCCCUGCUGGGAUUACAGGCAUGAGCCACCCCACUUGGCCAUCAUUUGUAUUUUGAAUUUAAAUAUUUUGUAGUCAUCACUCUUCAAAGAUUCUGGGUUUUGCUGCAUGUGCAUGAUGGGAUUCAGGACAUGCUACUCCAAAGUAUAACAUCUUGGGGUAUUGAAUAUUUUAUGCUAAAGGAAUAUGAGUAAACCACAGAAGCAGGAAGGUCACUGUCACCCUCCCCCUGCCCUUCCUCCCUGAAGUCCAGUAUAAGACUCUUAUGUGAGAGGUGCCCUCUCUGUACCCAGAGGAAAGGUGCAUCCUUGAUUCUGAAGACACAGGGACACAGAGAAGAGCCUGAACACAGAGGCCUGGCUACCUUUCCCCCACUUUGUUACUGUUAGAUCAUACUUUUAUUGACUUAUCAUACUUCUCCAUGACUAUUCAUUCUUGAAUAAACCUACUGUUAAAAAAACGAAAACAAAAACUGAGGUUUAGCUGUUUCCAUGGGCCUUCAUUUCCUUUGGAAGGCGUUCCUGUCAUGUAAAAUUUACAUUAAAUAAAUCUGUAUGCUCUUCCCUUGUUAGUCUGUGUUUUGCUGUGAGGGUCUCAGCAGCGAACCUAGGCUGGGUGAGGAAAAGUCAUAUUUCCUCCC
rnacentral:lncRNA from 1 species